rnacentral:rRNA from 1 species
UACGUAGGGGGCGAGCGUUGUCCGGAAUUACUGGGCGUAAAGGGCUCGUAGGUGGCCAACUAAGUCAGACGUGAAAUCCCUCGGCUUAACCGGGGAACUGCGUCUGAUACUGGAUGGCUUGAGUUCGGGAGAGGGAUGCGGAAUUCCAGGUGUAGCGGUGAAAUGCGUAGAUAUCUGGAGGAACACCGGUGGCGAAGGCGGCAUCCUGGACCGACACUGACGCUGAGGAGCGAAAGCCAGGGGAGCAAACGGG